AGCUCCAAUAGCGUAUAUUAAAGUUGUUGCGGUUAAAAGCUCGUAGUUGGAUUUCUGUUGAAGUCAGCCGGUGCACACUUCGUGUGUUAUUUGGCCUGGCUUUGGCAUCCUCUGGGGGAACGUCUCUGGCCUUAAUUGGACAGGGCGAGAUUCCAGACUUUUACUUUGAGGAAAUUAGAGUGUUCACAGCAGGCAAGUGCUUUGAAUACAUUAGCAUGGAAUAAUAAUAUAGGACCUUCGUUCUAUUUUGUUGGUUUCUAGGACUUAGGUAAUGAUUAAUAGGGACAAUUGGGGGCAUUCGUAUUAACGCGUCAGAGGUGGAAUUCUUGGAUUGCGUUACGACGAACUACUGCGAAAGCAUUUGCCAAAGAUGUUUUCA
rnacentral:rRNA from 1 species